AUGAACAUCAUUAACUUUUAUAAAAUUAUCAUUAAUUUUAUUUUCAAGAAUUGCAAAUCAUGGUGCUGGUUUUUACCUAGUUAACUAUGCAUGUUAUGUCUCUAGCAAGAUUAGUAAUAAAUUGCUCUUGGAAGUGAUGGGAGUUGGUUUUAUGUUGAUAUUAGUCCAGGAAAGAAUGUGAAUACCGAUGGCAAAGCCUCACAUGAAGAAGCCAACAGUUGUUGACAGUACUACUGGUCAGAGGAAAGACAGCAGGUUCAGGCAUGUUUUCUUAGAAGAGGACAAGAUAAAUCAUCCGACCAAUUGAAAAAAUGAUUGCAGAUUACACCUUCAUACCUGCAGUAUGGCACUGAUACCAGUCGCAUGCCAGAACGGUCUGGCACCAGUACAUACAAUGGAUCGAGUUUUUGUAUGGAUAUGGAUCACUACCGAUUGAUAGGGAGGGAGGGAUGAGAGAGAGAGAGAG